UAGACAUUGGAAAGUGUUGGGGUUCUCUUAAAUUCACUUAUUUUUCUCUCUUCUCUCACAUCCCGCCCAAUACGGCUCCAGUUCUUGUUUCUUCAUUUACGGACACAGCUUUCAUUUUUUUCUCAGUGCUAUCUAUACGCAGGUUUAUUGUGUUGGGAUGGAAGUCUCGGGGCAGAAUAUUGUUAAGUGUGAUGAAGAGAAAGCAUUGAAGUGCUUGCUUGAUGCAUUUGGCUCUGUGUUUUCUCUUGAAGAGAUAGCUUCUGCGUAUUGCAAGGCGAGCCGGAAUGCUGACUUGGCUGGGGAAAUUUUGUUUGAAAUGCAGGGAAGCUCCUCAGGAUCGUCUUCAACCCUUGAUUCAUCCAAUGCAGAUGUCAGGACUGAAGGGUCUUCUGAAUCAUCAGAUGGGUAUUCCCUUGAGAAUUCAUUCCAAGAAAGGAAAACUUCAAGGCCCAAAGUUCGUCCAGUUUCGGCUGGUACUGUUGCAAGCAUUAUUGGCAAGAAUUAUGUUAGACCUGCUCCAUCAGCAAAUGGGCCUUCUCAGACGACGAAACCAACUAAGUUGGAUGCAAAGUCGCUGCCAAUGACCGGAAUCUGGCGUGAAAAAAAUAAGCCAGAUGUUUCGAGUUCGAAGCAUGAUCAGCUUCACCAGGACAUGGAAGAUUUCUUAUUUAAAAUGCUUGGAGAUGGCUUUCAGCUCGACAGAAAUAUGAUACGGCAAGUUCUUGAUACUUGCGGAUACGAUAUUCAGAAGAGCUUGGUGAAGCUACUAGAUCAAUCGAAUACGGCUUCGGGCAAAAGGAAUGCUGUUAUUGAUGAUUCAGCUGGUGGAUUCACAGAUAUGAAACCAAAAUCUGAAGUGCCUUCUUCUGAAAGAAAGUCUCAGGAUUUAAAUUAUCCCAGAGGUGGUAAGAGCAUAGGUUCAAUUAAAGGAACAGAAUUACAUCAACAACAAAAACAAAAACAUGACCUUCAGAAAGAAGUGUUGUCUUCUUUGUUCAAUUAUCAAGGGCAUUCUGAAGUAGAGAAGGCUCCUAAAAGAAUUGUGAAGGAUUUGAAUAUGAAAUCACUAUUCGGGCGUGUGGUUUUUGAACCUCCCAAAGACUUCCCGGAAGAACUCAACAUUGACAUGGUCUUCCCACGACCAGGAAACAUAGACGAUCCAGAGGACGAGGAAGAAUACAAGAAUGUGCGCAGAGCUGUGAAGGAAUACCGGGUGGCAAUGAAUGAAUAUUAUAAAGCAGCAGUUGAUGCAUUUGCAAAAGGGGAUCAAAUCAAAGCAGAAAAAUUGUUAGAACAGGUGAUGGCAGGGGCAGUUUUUUCUGAGCAAGGCUCACGAAGCUGAUGAAGAAUCUAACAAAAUCAUUCUUGAAACCAACAAUAAUGAAGCAGAAGAAAUGGUGCUUGACUUACGUGACCAUGGUUCAAAUGAGGCUGUAAGACUACUGAAGUGUCACCUUUCUUCCUUUUCUGGCAUUCCAUCAUUCGAGUACCUCAAGGUUAUGGUUGAUGCAAAUGAUAAAGAUAACCCUAAAGGGUCUCGCAGAAGACUACGGGUAUUAAAACUAUUAGAGCAGGAAUCUAUACCAUGGGUGGAAGGAGACACUACUGAAACAAUACUGAUCCGGUUGGCUAACAUAGAGCGUAAGAGUUUGAGUUUUGUAAAAACAUAGGAUCACUUGUGACUCGCUACAGUGUGCAGUUAAUUCAUUGGUGAUGAAACUUGGCAUUAGGGUCGUCUUUUGUGGAGGUGUGUUGCCAUAGUUUUCAUCAGAUUUUUGUAACAUUGUUUGCACUACAUGACAGUAGUAAGAUUCCGUGGUACCUCCAUAUUUUAUUCCCUUUUUGAUAUAUGAAAAUCACAUAUAUUCUAAUCUUAAAA